rnacentral:misc_RNA from 1 species
UUGGCCAUAAUUACGUUCGAACAUCAAUAUUUGUGAGUGAUCGCCUGGCUCUUCAGUUCCUUCACCAUGGCAUCCUCGUCAUUGUUCAGAGUGAUCUUCUUUGGUGCUUUGGAGACCAAAUAAUUCCAAUUACGCUGGACGCCCUCGAAGCCAUUAGGAUCCUUACAGUAUGAUAAACUGAUCUUUCCAGUUCUUUAGCAAGGAAGGGAGAUCGGUGAAGAGCCCG